CGAGAGCAUUAAUCUAUUCUAGCUUCAUAAAGAGAACUUCGUCGACGAUUUUGUAGCCUGCUCGCCAAACGAGCACUUCGGAGUAAAUUGAUGGAUCCUCUUGACCUGGCUGAGGACCCUCCGUAAAUUGCUCGUAAAUUUUUAUUUAUUCCGCCGCAAAUAAAAUUCCGGGUCAAAGGGAGGGUGCGAAAGAAGAUGAUAUGGGCUUCGAUAAAAGCGAAAGAGAGAGAAAACGAUUUGUCUAGGUUGGUAGCUUCGAUUUCCCUGCACUCGCAUCACCGUUAUUCGUCGAUUCUUAAUAGCGACGACGAUUUUCUACAUUCGUAAUUUUUCAUCGACAUCGAGCUGAAGUCUUGAAAAAUUACUGACAUCACUAUUUCGGAGGGUAGUACGAAACGUGAUUAUUUGUUUUUUUUUCCUUUAUCGUUGUGCAUUUUUACUAGUUUUUACUGUUUACUAUACCACGUGUACAUUAUAAGCGAUGAUAUGAACAAAAUUGAAAAAGAUCAAUAAUGGCUAGUUUUUUAUGAUUUUUGGUAAAAGUAACUAAUUAACUGGCGUGCUUCGAAUGGAAUGCAUUAUAUUUAAUCUAUUGUGACAGAAAUCCAAACUGAACGUUUAUAUUGACAAUUGAUAUGGAAGUGUUGAGUUUGUAUAAAAUAAACACACAUUGGUAACUUAUAAUUACUAUUUAAUGUAAGAACUCGAAUAUAACAUAAUUAAUGUGAAACACGCGGACACACGGACUCGACGUACCGAGGACAAUAUCUAGAGACGCGGUAGCUUCUCGACGCCAAGUACAUGAACAAUUAUAAAGCCACCCCGUAUAUAACGUGGCGCUACCGCGUACCUUUUACUCGUAAAACUACGAUUCCAACCUAACCUAAAAGUUCUUUCAUUAAUAUCUCAUCACGCCUGCAAUAUUUUCGAAAUUUAAAGGCAUUUGUCUGAUGUAAAUCGCUUGUAACCUUUCGAAUAAAACCAAAAUCAAUCAAAUCGGCCCAUGUACAACUGAGAUAUCGUAAUAUCAUUUAUUCGAUUUUUUGUCAACACUUAGCCAACAGGAGCCAAGGCUGAUCGUCGAUUCGUCGACUCUCGGAAUCACUCGGCAAGGCUCGUCGGCCGCCAUAAGAAGUACUUGUGUGUAUCGUUUGACAGAUAUAGGUUAGUAUCGUUUGACAGAUUCGUUUGACAGCUAUAGGUUACAGUGGGGAACAGCUGGAUGCAGGUUAUUAAGACAGAAGAAAAAAAUUUCAUCAGAUACUGCAAGAAAUAAUGCACAAGAGACAGUAAUGUUGCCUUGUAAUACGUGUGUGCACGCAUUAAACAACCAUCAUAGUUGUUUUACCAGUGCGACAUAUUUUUUACCUAUUACAACAAGAAGAGGAGCAUAUAACAUCAUCAAUAAAAGGUUUUUGAUUGAUCUAAGCAGCUACAGUCAUUCCAAUAAGAGGAAUCGAAAGGAUGAAUUGCUUGUUUCAUGAAGCAAAUAAUUUGCUGACAAAGCAUCAAUAUUUUGGUGCUCACCAAAAAUAGGAGCUGCCACUGUGAAAUUCUAAUACUUUAUCUGAGGAAAGGAUAUCUGGUAGUAAUUAUUAAAAUACCACAAGAAAAAUCAUGCAAGUAUUACAGGAAAUACAAUAAAGUUUGACAGGUAUAUUGAAAUUGGUCAAUUAAAAUAUACUACGACCUGGCAGAGUGUACAAUGGAAGGAAUUAAGUGAUCUGUAUAUAAUAUAGUUGAAGCAUAAGAUGAUGCGGUGUGCAUAACAAAUUUGCUG